UCUUGGUUCAGGAUGAACGCUGGCGGCGUGCCUAACACAUGCAAGUCGAGCGAUUACUUCGGUAAAGAGCGGCGGACGGGUGAGUAACGCGUGGGUAACCUGCCUCAUACACAUGGAUAACAUACCGAAAGGUAUGCUAAUACAGGAUAAUAUAAGAGAUUCACAUGGAUUUCUUAUCAAAGCUCCGGCGGUAUGAGAUGGACCCGCGUCUGAUUAGCUAGUUGGUAAGGUAAUGGCUUACCAAGGCGACGAUCAGUAGCCGACCUGAGAGGGUGAUCGGCCACAUUGGAACUGAGACACGGUCCAAACUUCUACGGGAGGCAGCAGUGGGGAAUAUUGCACAAUGGGCGAAAGCCCGAUGCCAGCAACGCCGCGUGAGUGAUGAAGGCCUUCGGGUCGUAAAACUCUGUCCUCAAGGAAGAUAAUGACGGUACUUGAGGAGGAAGCCCCGGCUAACUACGUGCCAGCAGCGGC
rnacentral:rRNA from 1 species